GCUACGGGGGGCAGCAGUAGGGAAUGUUGCGCAAUGGGCGAAAGCCUGACGCAGCAACGCCGCGUGAAUGAGACGCGCUUCGGGGUGGAAAGUUCUGUCAGUGGGGACGAAAAAUGACGGUACCCACAGAGGAAGCACCGGCUAACGCCGUGCCAGCAGCCGCGGUAAUACGGAGGGUGCAAGCGUUGUCCGGAAUCCUUGGGCGUAAAGAGUUCGUAGGCGGCAGGUAAAGUCAGGUGUUAAAGGCGCCGGCUCAACCUGUGGAUGGCACUUGAUACUUGCAAGCUGGACUGCGGUAGAGGUAAAGGGAAUUCCUGUUGUAGCGGUGUACUGCUUAGAUAUCAGGAGGAACAUCGGUGGCGUACGCGCUUUACUGGGCCGUAAUUGACGCUGAGGUACGAAAGCCAGGGUAGCAAAUGGGAUUAGAUACCCCUGUAGUC
rnacentral:rRNA from 1 species